AAAGCCAAUGCCCCCAGGAUCUGUCUGGAGAAGGGAAGGCGCUCUGUCUGCUCAAUCAACGCGCUGACACCACAGUCCCUGAGAAUUGGCUUGGCAGCGGGUGCUCUCCGAGCCAGAACUGGCAGAUCAGCAGCUGCUGGAAGCAGACACUCCUUCGCAAGUUCUGGUCCUCUCUGGUGUCACCCAAGCUGCUUCCCUGACUUCCAGCGACGGCUUUUUGUUAAUUAGGUCACGCGUGGCCCCGCCGCGCGACGCGGCGCCAACGCUCUGGUGCCGGUGUGUCUUUUCACUUUUGUGAGCCUGGCAUUUUCUUUGCUCUCCAGGUUAUGCCAAGACAGAAGGAGGGACUUGGAGAGGGAGGAUUAACCUUUCGCUGGCCACGAUUCCCUCCCUCUUAUCGCGGAGGCUUCGGCAAGGCGCCCCCCCCCAGCCAGCCUAUCUGUCUGAAUUGCUGAAAGCAUAAUGCUCCCAUAUGAGAGAUAAAACUUAGAAGCCUGAUGCCGCUGAAGCCACAAAUGCGGAGACAGCAGGGAUGGCAGCAAUGUGGGACUCUACAGUGCACCACAGUCGCCUUCCAGUUGGGCUGGUUUGCAGGAAAUCAGGAAAGAGAGACAUGCACUGUGCAUGACAGCACUCUGCAGUGGGAGAAGUGAGAGAAACUAAGCUACAUCGUGCAAGAGUGGAGAUGGAGAGGAGGAAGUUGGAGCCUCCUCAGUGAACUUCAGCUUUUCUGCCAUGGGGGAACUGGUGGAAAAAGUUCAGAGAAGAAUCCUCCAGGUGUGAAGUCUGAUGUCAGUCAGCCUCAGAGAAACAGCACCAGCUGACCUGAGGACCUGCAAGCAAGUGUCAGACACUUCUUCCCAUGGCAUCACCAAAUCAGGCUUCCCCCAUCACCACAGAGUCGAGGCAGCCCCAGCUCACCUUUCCCUCUGCUCCUGACUGAAAUUCCAGCUGGAAGAGCAGCCCUUCCCUACUUGAGAAGCACAUGAGAUGGACUCGGUAUGCGAUGUUGCACCUGGGAUACAUCACACUCCUCAGGAACAUCUGCAGGCCACCAGCAGGGCUCAAGAGGAUGUGAGGAGGCCCUCAAACAACCCCAUCCCACCAAGUGGGACCUCUCUGCGUGGUCACCCUGGAAAGAGGCACCAACUGGGACUAAGUUCAUCAGCCAGCUUUUCUCCAGGAGCAGCCCUGUAGCAGCCCCGCUGGUUGGAUGGAGACCGACGGAAGCUUCCCGGUGUGCCAGCCCCAGGCUGCAGCAGAGACACAGAGCUGUAUUCCUGCCUCUGAUCUGAGGACUAGAUCUGAGGAAUGAAGGAGAUGGAACAGGAAUUCAUGCUGAAGAGGAACGACUAAGGAGUGAUUCUCCUUCUGUUUUCUGUUAGAAUGCAGAGCUGAAUUCUUGUCCAGAAAGAAGUGGCAAAGAGCAGCUGGGCUUCACCUGAAGGAUGGGCUGAGGAAGAUUUUCAGGUGACAGUUGGAACUUUUUAAUCCAUGGUACUAAAAGAAAAGCCCUGGUCACCAAGCAACUGAAGUCAGAUAUGUAAAUUAUAUGGCUGAUUUCCAGAGGUGGGCAGAUACCCCACAGUGCCCAGCAAAGUCCCAGAGAGAUGAGUGGUGAGAGGAGGAAAGGAUAAACCCCCACAUGGUGGUCUCAGCACUGUAAGAGCUUUCCACAUUAUCUGCAAUCACCAUGGAGAAAAUGGGUCUGGGUGUGCAUGGUUUCUGUAUAAAGAGUGCAUCUCCAGCACAUUCUGAAGGUAAGUAGUGUCUGAUUGCAUAAUAAUAACAAUAAUAAAGAGAGAGCUGUCCAGCCUGCACAUGGGCCAAUUAAAGGAUCAAGUGCACGAGGCUGCAGCACUCCUGGCAGGGGAGGAGUUGCCAGAGAGGUGCCCAGCCCACCACCACACCAAACUGUGGCAUUCAGAGAGCUUUGUCCCUGAAUCCCUGCAUGGAAGCAGGGGGACAGCACAGUAUCCACUAUUUUAGCAAAAUAAUGGAAGUUGUGACUGCAGCAGAGGCAAAACUCACCAGUGAAGUUCCAGUGCCUGUUUCACACCAUGCCUUACAGCUGUGCUGGGCAGGAUUUCUGCAGCUGCAGGGACCAGACCCAAACCCUGCUGCAUGCCACAGCUAUGCCUGAGAAUUCAUGGAGAGCUGGAGGAAUUUACUUUAUGGGGUGGCUGGAUCAUAUGUUUAUGGCCUGAAAGAGGAGAUCCCAACCCAAACCCCUUUGUUGGUCUCUGAUGGUGAGAGGCUGAAUAUGAACAUGAUAUAAUUCAUGCUGGGGCAUGGGUAUGAAAAGAGAACACGCAGGCUUUGCCUGGGACAGCCCCAGCCUCAGUAGCUGCCUUGCCAUUAAUUAUGGGUAAUGGGCUAAUAAACACCUUCACAUGCAGAGCACUGCACGUUCAGCCUGUAGGAGCCCCCUUGGAGAGAUGAGCCAGAAGGACUAAAUGUAAAACCCUGGAUGCUGGAAUUCUGCAUUGCUGACAGCAUUAGCAUUAAACUUAUAGGGGAUCAAGUGUUCCGGAUGCCUGCAGACAAUAAUUCACCCCAAAUGGAACUUCUGAGAGCUGACAGCAGUUGAUGGGAUAUUUUCUGCACUUUCUGCACAGAUGUGAGUGGUUGUGACCCUGCUAGUGUGGUGGGAAGGGCUCUUCUGCUGGAGCCAGUGGCUGGAAACAACCCUGGGGUUCCAUGGGCACAUCCCAGCCUGGCCACAGGCAUCACUAAUGCACUGCUCCAGUGGCCUUUCCUGGGGGACAAGGGCACUGGCACUUCAGGAACUGAAGCUGCUCCUCAAGGAACAGAAACUUCCUCUCCUCUCAGCUCUGCAGAAGAGCAAAAGUUCCUGGUUCAGGCCUUGGAAAUAAUGAGGUGAAAGAGACUCUAUUAAAAUUUCCCCAAAACAGGAUGAGAUAUUCUCUUAUGUGACUGGAAAAUGGGCAAACACAGCCUGCCUGGACAGGGCCCUCCUCUCAAAGAGCCAUGGAAAUGCUCCUGGGUCACAGGAGAGCUGGGAAUUCAACAUGAACUAGCGUGCUGGGGUGCUGGGAAAAACCCUAACCAGCCAAAAUGCAGCUAAAGACACUGAGCACACUGGAAAGGGUUUCUGCAGGUGCUUCUGCAGGGUUUUCCUUGUCCCCCAACAGAACCAGGCCCACAGCAGGAUGAGCUGCUGCAGAGAGCAGGAGGAGAGCAGCAGCUCCAGGCUCAGGGGGAGUGUGGGCUGCCUCAGGCUCAAACCCAAACUGUCUGUGCUGGAAGGAGCUCAGGUUCAGUCCAUCAGUGCCUCACCUUGCUGGGCACACAGCUCUUUAUUUAGAAACCUAAACACAGAACCAGGGCCCAGCUUCAGAUAAUCAGAAUUUUACCCUCUCUACAAAUACCUUCCAAAACACAAGUUACCACCCUGGAACCAAUACUUGGGUUUUGUUUGUUUGUUUUUGGGUUUUUUUUGUUUUGUUUUGGUUUUUUGUUGUUUUUUGUUUAACCCCAACUUUAAUGAAUUGACUGAAAAGUUUCUCAGUACCUUUGCCAUUAAUUAAAAAAUAAACAUCUUGUGACCCUCUCCUAAGGAAAAACGCAGCGGAUGUAGCUCCCCUGCCCUGGACACACUUAGAUUUAGCUUGGUUCACUCCCAAAGGCCAUGAUCCAACCAGAUAUUCAGGCACCUGUAUAACUUCAACAUUUCUAAGGACCGCUCUGAACUCUGGCAAAAGGAGGGAAAAUAAAUUUUGCUAAAGCACAACUUUAUUUCUUUCAAAUCUAAUUUUUCUAGAGUCUUGACUGCAAUGCAUCACUUCAAAUAUUUCCUAUUUCCUUCCUCAUGCAGAAUGUUUGAAUAUUAAGCCAGAUAUUUUUAUAUUUCCACAAAUUAAAUGCACCAUGGCUGAAGGUUUGACAGAAGCUCUAAUUUGCACAUAAAAAGGUGGAACAAUUUCAGUUUUGACAGCACAAGCUUCUGAUUUGUUAAUAAAGGCAAUUCUUUCUCAAUUGUGAACAUACUCCCCAAAUAAGACAAUGCAGUUUGUAGCAAAUAAAAAAAAAAUAAACCCAAAACAUCUUCCUGGUGUAGAGAAUAAACUUUUGAUCCAAAGUUAGUGUAGGAAUUCAGAUUUUAUGAAAAUAAAAGAAUGAAACUCACAUUCAAGCUUUAGCUGUACCAGAGCAGGGAUCAGAGGAAGAUCCAUGUUCCUGCCACUUUCUCUGUGCCUGUUGUUGGAAAUAUGACCUACCUCCAGUAUCUUUGGAUGAAUUCCUUUACUAGAAAGUACCUGUGAACAGGGGAAGUACUUUUGGGGUUGGGGAGGUGAGACAGAUGUGUGGAAAUGGUUUGGAUGAAAAUCACCCCAGAUUUUCCUGGAGGUGUUCUAAUUAAAUGCAGUUAAAGAACACCAGGAUUUCAGACUCUGGUGACAAAACCCAAGCACCAACAAGUUUGCAAACCAAGAUACAAGCAAGGCUAAGAGACAAGAGGCCACACCUUGAGAGUGGCCCCUCUGUGCCCAUGUCAAAGCCUCCUCUUCCCUUGAGACACCACAGAGGAGGAGAGAGGGUAGAACUCCAAAGCAGUGUGGGCAGAGCCAGCCACGCUUAAGCAUGGAAAAAAAAUAAAAUUUGGAUUUGUGAUCUGAGAUCAAACUAUUCUAAACUUUUCCCUGUGUGACAGCCAAAAGUGUCAGCAUGGAAGCAAAGUUGAAAGUGCCCAGGCUCUGUUUCGGGAUAUAAAAGGGUAACAAAGCCCCUGCCCACGGGCCUGCCAAGGGCUCGGCUUUUACAAGCUUGGCACAGACCUUGGCCUGGCAGCAGAGGCUGAGUGAAGCUCCUGCAGGAGGUGGGGAACGAGUCCAAACAGCCUGAGGCACAGACCAGCAGGGCUGGUGUCACAAGUGCCCACUGAGGGGUGCACAUAACCCAGAGCCCUGCCCCGAGGGCUCCCGGGUGCCACCUGUGGGCACGGGCAGAGGGAGGAGCUGGCACAGCCCCCCAUCCCUGGGAAACCCUUCCCGGGCUCUGGGCAGCGCUGCAUCCCCGGGGCACGGCGGGCACUGGGCAGGGCCGGCAGCAGCACCUCCUGCUCCAGUGCUCCCUGGGCCCGACACACCCUGCUGCCAUCCCUGCCGCUCUGCCACGGGUGGCACUGGGCACACUGCUCCGAGGCACUGGCCCGUUUAAGGCAAAACCUCCUGAUUUCUGUUAAUUCAAAGCUUUUGUGAAAGACAUUUUUGUUUUCCAAACAGUGUCCCCUUCUGCUUUUCUUUGCUUGCAUCUCACCACAGUUGCCUCCUAAUCCAGUGUUGGUGAAACAAGGCUGAAGGUAUUUUGGUCAUGUUUUCACACUCCUGAUGUACACUUGCCUUGUCUCCUUCCACUUUCCUUCUGACUACACUCUGCUUCACAAAUGCAGCCAUCUGGCACAACAUCACAGUUUUUUUCUGCCGACACCUGAGUAAUCAGAGCCCUUUUUUCUUCCUUUUUGUUUUCAUUUUUAAAUAAAGCAAGUGCUUCCAACUCCAGUGCCCAGGCUUAUAACAGGCAAUCCACAUCCCAUUAAUAAAAAGCAGCAGAAGUGGGAGGUCACUGGUAUUAAUGCUAGAAAACAUUUAGGGUGAGAUGUGAGAAAAAAUCUGCACCCAGUAUUUCCAGCUUUAAGAGCACUCCUUAGGAAACAGACUGUUUCCCUACAUUAUCUGUGUGAAACACCUAUAAAACAUUGAUGGCAAAGUUGUGGCCCCAAAAAUUCAGAAGAGUCUCACCACACAUUGCUGCAGGGCCAAAGCUGCAUCCCAAGAGGUUUUUGUCUCAAAGGACCCUCUCAGACUCACCCUCUCAUGCCACACCCACCUUUCCCACGGCAGAAAUAAAUUUGAUAACAUUAACUUGAUCCACCUGGCUGCCAUCUCCUCCACACAUCUGAUCCUACCCCUGAGCUCUGUGCCCCCUGGAGUAAAGGAUGGCCACCACCCCACAAGCCCCAGUGAUGUGGACACCCUGCACAGACGGGCAAUGGAACAGCUGUGCACAGGGAGCUCCCAAAUCUCACCCUUGGGCACUGGGACGAAGCACAGGGGCUGCCUCUGCACCUUCCCCAGACUGACAGCUCUGUCUGCAGCUCCUCUCACUGCCCUCCUUCCAUGCAGCAGAAACUGGGUUCUGCCAGCUGCACAGGGGAGGAUGGGGAUCAGGGGCAGGGCUGCAGUGGCUGCCCUGUGUCACCACCUGGCCAGUCCAGCACAAAGCAGCCAUGGCAGCACCUGGAACACAGACACAGCUCCACAGGCCCCAUCAUCCCCCUUGUCCCAAAGCACAGGCAUCAACAGUGGCAUUUCUGCUGUCAAUACCAAUUGGGAAGUGCCAUUGAUAAUGUGCCAGUACAAGUCAGUAAUGUGUGACUCUACAGACUGAGCCUGCUGUGAAAUCCCUGCUUUUCUUCCCAUUUGUUCAAACAGAGUUUCCCAACAGACUCUCAGCAGGCACAGCCACACUGGGCAUUAGUGCCACAGCAGCCCAGGACUCUGCUUUGCUGGGUGAGCAAAGAAGAUUUGCUGAUGGUAGGAGCAGCCUCUUCCCUCCAUGAGCAGCCAGCAGGGGCCACAGCAUCCUUCUGGGAUGGAUUUACACCAUACGGAGAUGCCAAAUGGGAGGGAAGAAGUUUGACAUAAAAAGCUCAAUCUCGACCCCAUCAGGAUCUGAAUGCAGGCCCAGAACCAGGCUAGGACAAUCUAGAUUUUG